GACAAAAUUGUCACAUCGAGAAAAUAUCCUUCCUCAGUGACAAGAUAUUAGAGAAACAACACGGUUCUUCCUGAUUAUUAUUUACAUCUGGACUAUCUCGGAGUUUCCUCCGUGUAGGCGUUUUACGCAUAGCAGAAACGUGUGGAUUAAUACAAAUACUAAACUAGCUGGGAGAACAGAGAACGUGAAAAUGGACGAGAAGGGGCCGUGCCAGUCGACCAGUACCCAGGCUAAAUGAAGAGGGGAAGUUGCCAUUGUGAAUGGAUUGAACGACUCAUCAGGACUAAGGACACCUUGAUCAACAUUCUGAUGAAAGACCAGCAAUACCUCAGGUGGAGAGACAUCAGAGAGAGAAUGAACCAGUCUGGAGAGGCUGAGAACAAUGCUGCUGCAGGGGCCACAACAUCAGGUAUGAAGUUCACUUGACUGCUCUAAAUGCAGCUUAUAUCACUGUAAACCCAAGGAUUUUUAACUCCAAUACUUAUAGUAAGUUGAAGUCAGUCAAUGAAAAGUAAUGAUUACUUUUGUGGUACUGACUCAAAACUAAAUGAGACUCCAUUUUUUAAAAGUUAUGAUAACAAAUGCACUUUACUCAGCAUGUUCUACUUCAGGUAGAUUUAAAAAAGUAUUUUAAUAUCUGUUUUUGCAUGUACAAUGAGUGAUUGAUAUGCUACACAAAGAUAAAUAACAUCCAUUUUUCUAAACUAAUCUAAUCAUUUAGCUCAAUUUUUUUUCACCGGUUACUGGAAUGGUUGUUCCAGUUUAAUUGGGUUAGGUAGUCUCCCCACACUGUUCCUAACCCUGGUUGUAACGGCGUUCCUCCUCCUCUUCAUCCGAAAAGGAGUAGUGAUUCGACCAAAAUGCAGCGUUGUAGUUCGACAUAUUAUUUAUUAAACAACACAGAAAACACGACUAACACUUGAAUAAUCAUAAAACAAUAAACGACGUAGACAGACCUGGACGACGAACUUACAUGAAACACGAAGAACGCAAUAACAGGAAAACUGACUACAUAAAACGAACAAACAAAACUGAAAACAGUCCCGUGUGGCGUAACAUACACUGACACAGACACAGGAGACAACCACACACAAACAAACAGUGUGAAAAUACCUACCUUAAUAUGGCUCUCAAUCAGAGGAAAUGAAAACCACCUGCCUAUAAUUGAGAGCCAUAUCAGGUCACCCUUAACAAACAUUGAAACACACAACAUAGACUACCCACCCAAACUCACGCCCUGACCGUCAAACACAUACAAAAUAACAGAAAACCGGUCAGGAACGUGACACCGGUUUACUAGAGGCAAUGAUCUGCCCUCCCACCGGUCUAACAUGGUCUACAAUCGAGAGCUGUAAUUUGUAUUUUCAAAAUACUAAAUACUUUUCUAUACCAUUUGUUUUUUAUACUGGUUCACCAUUUUGUGCCUUUCACCCUGCAUUGGUAUCAGAAGUC